UUUUGCCGUCGCAUUGUUUUGAAACUUAUUCGGUCAAAUUUUAUGGUAAAGAGAAACUUACCGCGAAGAUUUUGAGCAUAUAUAUGAUUGAACUGGAUGAAAACUCGCAAAAUUAUCCAUCGAUAAAAGUUCGUGUAUAGUACUGAUAUAGUACUAUAUAUGUAACUUGUACAGUUUUGCUUUAAUUUUUGCUCACUAUUUGCAUAAAAACCAAAUUAUAACAGACCAUAGAUGAUA